rnacentral:lncRNA from 1 species
GGGUCAUUGAGGUUAAUGAUAAGAACCUUUACUCAAGCAUCUCUUUCUUAGUGCACUUCAGCAGAGUUGUGAGUGUCAGUGUGCAACCUGCGUGCAGUAAUAGGCAGUGUGUUAGCCACAUGGCAGUUCUGGUGAUGAGAACAGACAUUUUGUUGCAGGAGUUGGCUUAGACUAAUUUUGGGGAUAAUUUUGAGGGGGUUUCAAGAGAAAAUGGUUUCAAACAGGAAAACCUGAUUUUAAAUAAAAGAACUUUAGAGUCCAGGGACAGUACUUUAAAAACGUUACUCGUCAAGUUUGCAGUUACAUCUUUUUUGGUAUCUUCAUUUUAAGAGCUUCAGGCAGCCCGGCCUUUGGAAAUCAGACCCCCCAGCUAAGUUGCAGUCACUAGUUACUUUUGAACAUCUUGUCUCAUAGGCUUUGCUGUACUACUUUAUGUUUGCAAUACGACUACGAAUCGCUGUUUUCUAAGUAAACAAGUGAGAACAAUAUACAGUGCAUGGGGUUGUGUUCCUGCUUGAGGUGAACAAAGAGGGAGGAAAUUUCCAACUCGUAAAUAUAAGCCUUCCUGGUAUGUGCCCACCUGAUGUGCUGUGGUAGAAGUCUUGGUCUUCUCAUGUAGGAGAAAAGGAAGACUGUCCCUUCAGGCUGCCCUGUGGAGUCAAAAUCUCUUGCUGACUUUGCAGUGUUGGGGAUGUACCUGAAACUCAACAUGUUCAAGUUGGCAGAGUUCUCACUUUCUGAUUUCUGGAUGUUGUGAAUGCCUAUGGCUCUGAACCAUAGGGUUUGGGUGGUGCCAUGUGGAGCCUGGCGCUGGGGUCAGUGAUUUCCGUGGGUCCCUUCCUAAUGUGGAUAUUAUGUGAUUCUAGAAUUCUGUGAUUUCUCAUUGUAUCCCAAGCUGUAUUCUCUUCCCCUUCUUUCCUCUCUCUCUCUCUCUCUCUCUCACUAUUUCAGCUGUCUCUCCUGUCCAUUUCAACUGCCUUUCCUCUGCUUUUUACCUUUUCUUUCUUCAUUCCUGCUUUCUUUAAUCUUUCUUGCUUUAGACAUAUACCCUCAGUGCCUUCUGCCCUGUAAUCUCCCAUCCUAUCUUUAGUCCACUUGAUUUAGCCCCAUUGUUCUCAUCUGUCUUCCCCUAUUUGUAGCGUAUUAGCCCCUUUUCUCCCAUUUUUUUUCACUCCUUGCAGCAUGGGAGAAAUUUUUGCACUGUUAGAUCUGCUCCCUUAGUGCUUCUCAGGAACUCUAGAAUCUGCAAAAUGUGUGCGUUCCAGCCUGUAUAGAGGCUGCCUGCCUGUAAACUGGUAGACAGAUACUCGAAGUCAAAGAAAAGACUACAUUGGUCAGAAAUUGCUUGAAAGCAUGUUCAUGUAUUGGGAGGGUCAUAGAUAUGUCCUUAAAAUUGAUGCAGCCUUUUGGAGACUGGAAGAGUUAAUUGAAGAGCUGUAUGAACAGACUAAAGACUUACCUUUAUGGAUGCCAUUUCUCUGGUAGAUCUACAAACAGCUCAGCCUCUCUUCUUGCUUUCUUGAUGUAGACAUGCAUGCAGUGACUCUUUCAGAGAUGCUUUUGUCAUUUCCAAUCUGGUACAGCUGUAGUCACUUAGCUUUUAAGCAGGAAAGCAUUUUUAUUAGCUUACUCACUUCUGUUUAACUCCCCUCUUCUCAUGAUGACCUACACAGUGCUGGGAUGGACAUAACUAAUCCCACCAGGUGCUCUAAAGUACAAACUUGCAGUGAUGGUUGCUAACAGCGUGGGCUUGCUUGGGAUGAGAUGCUGGAAAGGUGAGGAGGCUGGAGCUGGUCUGUGCUACCUACCUGGUGAAUUGGCAGCCAGAGGAGGACCAGGACAAAUGGGAUGUACUGAGGAGGUGCAGGGCUCUUUAAAGGUCUUUGCUGCGGGGCCUCACUUCCACAAUGUGGAGUGGAAUCCAUGGAGGCUGAAUCUCAGCACAGCUACACCGUCAGCAAAAUCUGUGAAGGCCAGACAAAAAAAUGUUUGUUUAUUCUCCUUUAAUGACUGGUCCAUGUAAAGAAUGGAAAUGCACUGCAGCUGUCGUUUGCUCUGUAAACUCAAAUGGCUAUGGUUGUGGAGUCAGUAUGAUUACAGAGGAUGGAAUUAGGAGUUAAGAAAUUCACAGGCAACUUUAAUUAACCUGCUUUGUGUAUAUGCAUUAUGAUGCAGUCUUUAAUUAUGUGAUCGCAUACUAUUUUCCCCAAAGCAUUUGUGUCUCAUUUAACUCAGAGGAUUGAGGUGGUUGAGCAGGCUGUUUGUCCAGAGGACCUCCGUCCUUUUGGUAGGAAGGUGUACAGCAAGCAAAGCGGGGAUUGCAAGGAGCAAGAGGAUGAGGUCACGGCUUGAAAGAGUUAAAUGUAAGAUUGCCUUUACCUCAGUGUUUCUGAUCAGUGCUGCUGAGUGUUCCGAACCACACUUCCUCCAAGCAGUCAUCAAUUGUGCAUCCUUCCUUUUUGGAUGGCCAUUUGAGGUGAAGGUUUAAUUUGCAGAUGUAUUGAGCUUCCAUGUCUGUCAGGGAAAUCAAUUGGAGCUGUGCUUUAGACUUACAAAGGGCUGCAUAAAGCUUAGUAUGCUGAGAAAAGCAGGUAAUAGACUUCCCAGAGUAUGCACUCAGUGUUAGAUCCUGUUAGCUGUGUCUCCCCAUCUCAGUUCCCAGCCAAAGAAGAGGGUAAUAACACCACCACAGGGUGCUGGGAGAGGAGAAUGCCAUUAAUAUUUUUAAGGCACUUAAAUACCGUAAUGAUGAGAACUGUAGAAAAGCUCUUGAAGAAAUUAAUAGUUCUGUCUAUACAGCAAGAUUUGAACAUUGUAUAGUAAGGAGUGGUGCAACAUAUUGAUGGGCCUGUGUAUUGAACAGUGAAAGUAAGCCACUGCUGGGUAGAGCUCAGCUCUAAGCUGAAGGUGGGUGAGAUCAGGGACAGUAAAAGGUUUUGCCACAGCAAGGCUCUGUCCUCAAAGGGGUGAAAAUUAAGAUUAUGCCAAUCAGUCUUCUUUCUGACAUCUCUGAAAUGAUGUGUCAAAGCCUUUUAACUGGUAUUUGCAAGGCAGACGGCUUUAGCAGAGGAUGUCGUAUAGCAUGGCGUUCAUGUGAGAUGGUGCUCAUCUGGGAGAGGUUGUGGUUGUCUGGCAGGCACAGACCAGAGAUCACUCCUGAAGUUACUGUUUUUGCACAAGCCAAGGAUUUCUUCCUAGUGAAUUUAGGUGUAGGACUGGGCCCUUCGUAUGGACUUGGCCAAAGAUUUUGAGUAUUUAGAAUCUAGUAUUGGUUCUGGGAUGCAGGCAUGAUACCUGCAGGGAGUUCCUUGGUCUUUUGCCUCCCAUGAAAAUAGUAAUUCUUUCUUUACAACGGCAUUGUAAGAGACUCCAUUUGUAAAAUAAGUAUUUAAAACCAUAUGAAUGCUAAUUGCAGGAGUGUUUUCAGAGAGCAGUCUGACACUGCUGCUGUGCUCCCAUGCAACUGUUGCUAGCCUGCUUUCUGCAGAGAAAGAUGUGGCUUUACUUACCUCUACUACCAUUAUUUCAUACUUAUUCAGUUUGAAUGGUAGUUACAGUUGCCUACAUAUAUUAAAAAAAUAAUAAUAAUAAAGAUUUGAAAGAGCAGUGAGGUCUGCAUUCAGCUUUUGUAGUAGAAUAUGGAGAUGUGAAGCUGUUACCUCCAACCAUACAGACGCUGCCUGUAUACAGAGGGCAGCAGGAAGGGGUUCUGUCAUGAGAUUGUUUCUUUCUGCUCAGAGUAUUGCUUUUUGUUACUCGCUUCCUCAAAGGACUUGUUGCGGCUGUAUCUAAUUCAUGUUUAAUAAGCUCUUUCUACUUCAGGUGUCAAUCUGUUUUGCCCAUUACUUUUCAUUUUCAUAAAUAUUUGAGUGCAAAAUGAUAACAGUUUUUGCAUCCGUAGUGGCUGGGUGGAAAUGGAAGUCUUUUUAGUAGAGCUCCAGAAACCGACAGAACCUGAAAUGAGAUGGUUUUGUAUACUCUUUAAUUUUGAUUGC